rnacentral:rRNA from 1 species
UAAGGAAUAUUGCUCAAUGGGAGAAAUCCUGAAGCAGCAGCGCCGCGUGGAGGAUGAAGGGUCUAUGACUUGUAAACUCCUGUAAAGAAGGAGAAAAUUCCCAUUUGAUGGGAGAUGAUGGUACUUCUGGAGUAAGCCCCGGCUAACUACGUGCCAACAGCCGCGGUAAUAAGUAGGGGGCAAGCGUUGUACGGAUUUACUGGGUGUAAAGGGUGCUCAGGCCGAGUUGUAAGUCAGAGGUGAAAUCUUACAGCUUAA